GACGAACGCUGGCGGCGUGCUUAACACAUGCAAGUCGAACGGAAAGGCCCUGCUUGCAGGGUACUCGAGUGGCGAACGGGUGAGUAACACGUGGGUGAUCUGCCCUGCACUUCGGGAUAAGCCUGGGAAACUGGGACUAAUACCGGAUAGGAGCCAUUUUUAGAGUGAUGGUUGGAAAGUUUUUUCGGUGUAGGAUGGGCACGCGGCCUAUCAGCGUGUUGGUGGGGUAAUGGCCUACCAAGGCGGCGACGGGUAGCCGGCCAGGGAGGGUGGACGGCCACAUUGAGACUGUGUUACUCCCCAGACUCCCACGGGCGGCAGCAGUGGGGAAUAUUGCGCCAUGGGCGCGAGCCUGAUUCAGCGACGCCGCGUGGGGGAUGACGGCCUUCGGGUUGUAAACUCCUUUCGCCAGGGUCUAAGCUUUUUGUGACGUUACCUAGAUAAGAAGCACCGGCUAACUACGUG
rnacentral:rRNA from 1 species